rnacentral:rRNA from 1 species
AUUGAACGCUGGCGGCAGGCCUAACACAUGCAAGUCGAACGAGUGGCGGACGGGUGAGUAAUGUCUGGGAAACUGCCUGAUGGAGGGGGAUAACUACUGGAAACGGUAGCUAAUACCGCAUACCAUCAGAUGUGCCCAGAUGGGAUUAGCUAGUUGGUGGGGUAACGGCGCACCAAGGCGACGAUCCCUAGCUGGUCUGAGAGGAUGACCAGCCACACUGGGACUGAGACACGGUCCAGACUCCUACGGGAGGCAGCAGUGGGGAAUAUUGCACAAUGGGCGCAAGCCUGAUGGAGCCAUGCCGCGUGUAUGAAGAAGGCCUUCGGGUUGUAAAGUACUGUCGGCAGGGAGGCGUUACCCAAAGAGGAAGCCACGGCUAACUACGUGCCAGCAGCCGCGGUAAUUC